UUGAAAAUAAGGAAUUUUCAUCAACCUUAUCACUUUGCACGACCAUUAUUCUGAAAAACAGAGAGAAAAGAAAACCAAAAACCAUUUCUUGGCUGGUUUGAAGAAAUUCUAAGGAGAUCCAAGUGAAAUCAAAGCCAAAGAAGUAGAUUAAGCUUAGUUCUAGCCUUUUUAUGAUAUUUCUUGGGGUUUCCAAGUGGUUGGAGGUUUAGAAAAGCUUGAAGAGAUUGUUUUCGCCGAAAAGUUGCUCGGAUAAGCAUAUCAAUACCUAAGACAUCACUUGUUACACGGUGAAAUAUAUUGUGGACAAAAGGUAAGUAAAGUACUCAACUGCAACACAAGAAUUAUGUGUUAUGUGAAAGUAUGCAUUAUAUGAAUAUUUUGUGAGUAAGUGGUAUUAACAUACAGUGACACUUCAUCAUAAAUUUGUAUGCAUGGCAUAAUAGUGAUAUGGUAAAUUAUUAUAUGAUAUAAGACCAUGCAUGAUAUUAUGAUGAUUAAUUAUAUGAUGCCUUUGCAAGUUUUGUGCAACAUAAAAGAAAGUUGUAAUAAGAAGUUUAAGUUCAGUGCCACUGUUUUGAAAAGGCAAAUGAAAGUGUUAAUAAGUGUAAACGGAGGCCUAUAGUAGGCUUAUAGUGGCUGCCCAAUAAUUUGGGCUAGGUUUAGUGAACCAAUUAUAUUGUUUGCCAUAUUUCCGUUUUUAUUUCUCCUCCAUAUGAGUUAUUGUUAUAUGUAUU